rnacentral:rRNA from 1 species
UACGGAGGGUGCAAGCGUUAUUCGGAAUUACUGGGCGUAAAGGGCGUGCAGGCGGCUUUGCAAGUCUGAUGUGAAAGCCCGGGGCUUAACCCCGGAAGGGCAUUGGAAACUGCAGGGCUUGAGUACCGGAGAGGAAGGGAGAAUUCCCGGUGUAGAGGUGAAAUUCGUAGAGGUCGGGAGGAACACCAGUGGCGAAGGCGCCCUUCUGGACGGUUACUGACGCUGAGACGCGAAAGCGUGGGGAG